GGGAAGCCAGCGGCGACGCCGAGCGGAACCCGAAAAGCCGUCUCAGUUCGGAUUGGAGUCUGCAACCCGACUCCAUGAAGCUGGAUUCGCUAGUAAUCGCGCAUCAGCCACGGCGCGGUGAAUACGUUCCCGGGCCUUGUACACACCGCCCGUCAAGCCAUGGGAGCCGGGAGUGCCUGAAGUACGUGACCGCAAGGAGCGUCCUAGGGUAAGACCGGUGACUGGGGCUAAGUCGUAACAAGGUAGC
rnacentral:rRNA from 1 species